GACGAACGCUGGCGGCGUGCCUAAUACAUGCAGGUCGAGCGGACGAUUCGAAAGCUUGCUUUUGAAUCGUUAGCGGCGGACGGGUGAGUAACACGUGGGCAACCUGCCCUGUAGACGGGGAUAACACCGAGAAAUCGGUGCUAAUACCGGAUAACACGAAAUGUCGCAUGACGUUUCGUUGAAAGGCGGCGCAAGCUGCCGCUACAGGAUGGGCCCGCGGCGCAUUAGCUAGUUGGUGAGGUAACGGCUCACCAAGGCGACGAUGCGUAGCCGACCUGAGAGGGUGAUCGGCCACACUGGGACUGAGACACGGCCCAGACUCCUACGGGAGGCAGCAGUAGGGAAUCUUCCGCAAUGGACGAAAGUCUGACGGAGCAACGCCGCGUGAGCGAAGAAGGCCUUCGGGUCGUAAAGCUCUGUUGUUAGGGAAGAACAAGUAACGUAGUAACUGACGUUACUAUGACGGUACCUAACGAGAAAGCCACGGCUAACUACGUG
rnacentral:rRNA from 1 species